UACGUAGGGUGCGAGCGUUAAUCGGAAUUACUGGGCGUAAAGCGUGCGCAGGCGGUUUUGUAAGCCAGAUGUGAAAGCCCCGGGCUUAACCUGGGAAUGGCAUUUGGGACUGCAAGGCUUGAGUGCGGCAGAGGAGACUGGAAUUCCUGGUGUAGAAGUGAAAUGCGUAGAUAUCAGGAGGAAUACCGAUGGCGAAGGCAGGUCUCUGGGCUGACACUGACGCUCAUGCACGAAAGCGUGGGGAGCAAACAGG
rnacentral:rRNA from 1 species